UGAGGCAGGAUGAUAUGGAAGUUCAAUAGGCCCCCGUGUUGAAAAGCCCCCAACCUCCCUUUUUUCUUAUUAUAACAAUUUCUAACCCCCUUCCCAGAGAGGUGUCCGUUGACCCCCAAUUUAUGCGCUGGGACACGCUCGGGAAAAUAAAACACCGAGGGGGAAGGUAUACGUAUAUCAAGAACUUUUUGGGCCCCACCCACAGUUCGUCGGUGUUUGGGGGGGUUUUUAGGGGGAGGGGGGCUUUGGUCAGGCCCCAGCCCCGACCGCAUAUUCUCGAGUUUGACCCGGGUACCAUUGUGGUGGAAUUACAGACUUUGCCGCGGACACUGUGCGCUCGCUUCGCACCGCAGCGUGGCGCCUGGCAAAAACCCGCAGGGGGGGGGGGGGGGGGGGACAGGGAGGGACUGGGAGGACUAUCCCCAGUGCUCCUGGGCAAGUCGCGCAGUUGGGCCUGCGGGUUUUUGCCAGGCGCCACGCUGCGGUGCGAAGCGAGGGCACAGUGUCCGCGGCAAAGUCGGCCACCCAUCCCAUCCAUCUGGAAACAGGGACCAAAGAGUCUAACACGUGCGCGAGUCCGGGGCUCGCAUGAAAGCUGCCAUGGCGCAAUGAAGGUGAAGGCCCGUCAGGGCCGAGGUGGGAUCCCGAGGCCUCUCCAGUCUGCCGAGGGCGCACCACCCGCCCUUCUCGCCCGCCUUGCCGCAGAGGUGGAGCAUGAGCGCACGUGUUAGGACCCGAAAGAUGGUAAACUAUGCCUGGGCAGGGAGAAGCCACAGGAAAAUCUGGUGGUGGUCUGUAGCGGUCCUGAUGUGCAAAUCCGUCGUCUGACCUGGGUAUAGGGGUGAAAGACUAAUCGGACCAUCUAGUAGCUGGCUCCCUCCGGAGUUUCCCUGAGGAUAGUUGGCACUCUUUUAUUUUACUCGAUUUACUCUGUUAUUUACUCCAUUUACUCUAUUUACUCUAUUCUAUUCCAUUCCAUUCCAUUCCAUUCCAUUCCAUUCCAUUCCAUUCCAUUCUAUUCUAUUCUAUUCUAUUCUAUUCUAUUCUAUUCUAUUCUAUUCUAUAUUACUAUGGCAUCUGGACUCUGAGGGAGUUCCUCUCUGUUCUUGUAACCCAUUUCUUUGGUGCCAGAGGGACAAGGCGACUCUAGGAGAUGAAUAGGAUGCCCUCCUUCAGAUGUGCCCUAUGACAUCUGUUUUUCAAAGCCAUUGAAGCCAAGGAGGUCAGUUGUACUGUAGGGGUGAUCAGAAUCUCAGCUGAGCAUCAGAUAUGAUCCACAGGACUGGGCCAACCUGCAAAAAGCCACAGUGAGUCUCCUAGAGAAAGGACACUCGGCGGAAAUCUAGGUGCCCAACAUUGUGCUCCGUGUGUGUGUGUGUGUGUGUGUGUGUGUGUGUGUGAGAGAGAGAGAGAGAGAGUGUGUGUGUGUGUGUGUGUGUGUGUGUGUAUCUGAGGUCACUCAGGCAAACUGGUGAAUUUUCCAUUGUGGGAUGACAUUUGUGAGUACCCCUCUUUUUCCCACCUCAUCCCCCUCCUGCGCCACACACACACACACACACACACACACACAAACACACAAACACACACACAACACACACACACACACACACACACACGCCUGCUUUCACACAUAGAGCGCCCCAGACUGGGAGCUUCCCCUAGCCCUGGGGGCUACAAACACCCUGGGAAGGUG
rnacentral:ncRNA from 1 species